AGAAUAUUGGAUGAUAUUGGUGUUGUUAGUUACAAAGUAAGAUGAUGACUUUGUAUUGUGUAACGAUCCACAAAGCGGGAUUAUUAGGAUGCGAGGCUAAAUUAAAAUUUCUGUGUACAAUAUCAGAGGAAUUUUAAGUCAAUCUUUUAGUUGUUAUAUAAAUAAAAAUAAAUAAAAUUGGCGCAAUUAGAUGAUUAUUUUAUUGGCGCAAAUGAUACAUAUAGUUUUGAAAAUUAGGUGGCGCAAAAGAAGUAUUGGCGCAAUUAAGUUGUGGCGCAAAUGAGUUAAUUUUUGGCGCAAAAAGAUAUCG
rnacentral:lncRNA from 1 species